CGUGGAGACAGGUGGUGCAUGGCUGUCGUCAGCUCGUGUCGUGAGAUGUUGGGUUAAGUCCCGCAACGAGCGCAACCCUCACCCCUUGUUGCCAUCAGGUCACGUUGGGCACUCUAGGGGAACUGCCCCGGUCAACGGGGAGGAAGGUGGGGACGACGUCAAGUCAUCAUGCCCCUUACGCCCUGGGCUACACACGUGCUACAAUGGCCGGUACAAAGGGAUGCAAGACCGUGAGGUGGAGCUAAACCCAAAAAGCCGGUCUAAGUUCAGAUUGGAGUCUGCAACUCGACUCCAUGAAGGAGGAAUCGCUAGUAAUCGCGCAUCAGCACGGCGCGGUGAAUACGUUCCCGGGCCUUGUACACACCGCCCGUCACACCACGAAAGCCAGCUGUACUCGAAGUCGCUGAG
rnacentral:rRNA from 1 species